UUACGCAAUAGGACAGUUAACAUGCGCUGCCUGCUAAUUAUCUAUAGACUGUUUCAACUUGUGAAUUUCAAAUUAUUCUCUAACAAGUUUUAUUUUCUAACAACAGUUUGAAUUGAGGUGUGUUCCACCUGCUCAUUAAUUCACAUAGAAGUAGCCCAUUUCAGCAUUGCGGGCAAUUUAUGUCUGAGGCUUUACUGAGCCAGACAAACUUCUCUCUUCGAAGAGAGCCCACGCACUUCACUAAUGUUUCCGCAGAUCAAGUAUGCAGACAUUUGCACAGUCUUGCACGAAUUGACACAUUUUCUGGCUGGCGCUUGCGUUGCCCUACUUAUUAUUUGUAAGGAAAAAAAUUACUUUGGACAUGUAUGCUUUCCUAUCAAAGUACCCUCUCUGCUGAUCACGUCUGCCACUCACGUUCUCCGUAUCGAAGGUACAAAACACAGCUGAUGACAUGGGUAAAGUUAUGAGAAUCUACCGUCUGAAUUUGCAGCAAUACCCCUUCACCCAAGGCCUGUACAUGAAACGAUACAAGAUCACCGGUGAAGUGUUCAUUAGAGACAUCCUUAUCAACCAGUGGAACGGAAGAAUAAUUCCUCACUACCGACAGACUGUCAUAACAUAUUCUCUAAUAGUUAUCUAUGUGGGGCUGAUACCAGGGGGGGGGGGGGGGGGGGACGAACAGCUGAUCAUACUUAAAAGGACUCUGAAUGAUUACCUUGCCAAUAGGACGAUUGAAUAUUAUUGUCUUGCAGACAAAUAUUUUUGGGUGAGUUUCCUCCCAAUACAGGCUGUGGUAGGAAUCGUAAGGGUCAUCAUCAUUAGACCUGUUAAUACCUAUUUUCUAUAACUUUGUGUGAAAUAUAUUUCUUACUGCAACAGCAAGUAAAAUAUGCCCUGUGUGUUUUAUAGUAAUGCAAGGUGUUUUAUGGGAAUGAUUUUAUGCUCCCUGCUAAUGUUAUUUAUACUGUCUAUUUUUUCAUGUUUUCUGAAAAUACAUUUGAAGUAUAUUUAUUUUUUAAAUGGUCUAAGGGAAGUGUAAGAAUAUUCUAAGAUAAAUACACAACGCAGAGGACUAAAGGUCAAGAGGGAAUUAAUGAUCAAUGGAAAUAGUUGUUUUUCUGUAAUGGGGAAGUGAAGAUUAAUGGGUCAGGGACACGGGAGGAAUCAGUCCAGGACUCAUAGCUACAUGUGGCAAGUUCUCAAUGGUCCGAAUCCCCUAUACAUUGAGCCUGAAAUGGGAUACUUGUUAUUUGAGCAUUGGCCCAAUUUUAAUGCAAGGAAUUCUAAUUGAACAACCACAGGCUAGGGUUGGGUUAUAAACUACAUCCUGUCUCUUUGUUCAGAGGAGAAACCAUUGAGGACAGGGAAGAAUGAACAUCUGCCAUCUACUUCCCAGCAUAAACUAUGAUUUGUUUUCUUUGAAUAAAUAUAUUUUCUCCCCCUGA